UACAGAGGGUGCGAGCGUUAAUCGGAAUUACUGGGCGUAAAGCGCGCGUAGGCGGCUUUGCAAGUCGGGUGUGAAAUCCCCAGGCUUAACCUGGGAACUGCAUUCGAGACUGCAUUGCUAGAGUAUGGGAGAGGGAAGUGGAAUUUCCGGUGUAGCGGUGAAAUGCGUAGAUAUCGGAAGGAACAUCAGCGGCGAAAGCGACUUCCUGGACCAGUACCGACGUUCAGGCACGAGAGCGUGGGGAGCAAACAGG
rnacentral:rRNA from 1 species